rnacentral:rRNA from 1 species
UGGGGAAUAUUGCACAAUGGGCGCAAGCCUGAUGCAGCCAUGCCGCGUGUGUGAAGAAGGCCUUCGGGUUGUAAAGCACUUUCAGCGAGGAGGAAGGUGGUGAACUUAAUACGUCAUCAAUUGACGUUACUCGCAGAAGAAGCACCGGCUAACUCCGUGCCAGCAGCCGCGGUAAUACGGAGGGUGCAAGCGUUAAUCGGAAUUACUGGGCGUAAAGCGCACGCAGGCGGUUUGUUAAGUCAGAUGUGAAAUCCCCGGGCUCAACCUGGGAACUGCAUUUGAAACUGGCAAGCUAGAGUCUCGUAGAGGGGGGUAGAAUUCCAGGUGUAGCGGUGAAAUGCGUAGAGAUCUGGAGGAAUACCGGUGGCGAAGGCGGCCCCCCUGGACGAAGACUGACGCUCAGGUGCGAAAGCGUGGGGAGCAAACAGAUUAGAUACCCUGGU